UCGGGAAUUUUGGGCAAUGGGCGAAAGCCUGACCCAGCAACGCCGCGUGAAGGAUGAAGUAUUUCGGUAUGUAAACUUCGUAAGAAUAGGAAGAAUAAAUGACGGUACUAUUUAUAAGGUCCGGCUAACUACGUGCCAGCAGCCGCGGUAAUACGUAGGGACCAAGCGUUGUUCGGAUUUACUGGGCGUAAAGGGCGCGUAGGCGGCAAUUCAAGUCAUCUGUGAAAUCUCCGGGCUUAACUCGGAACGGUCAGAUGAUACUGCUUUGCUAGAGUGCAGAAGGGGCAAUCGGAAUUCUUGGUGUAGCGGUGAAAUGCGUAGAUAUCAAGAGGAACACCUGAGGUGAAGACGGGUUGCUGGGCUGACACUGACGCUGAGGCGCGAAAGCCAGGGGAGCAAACGGGAUUAGAUACCCAAGUAGUCCCUGAGCGGGCUGGCAAGGCGCAU
rnacentral:rRNA from 1 species